rnacentral:rRNA from 1 species
GUGGGGAAUUUUGCGCAAUGGGGGCAACCCUGACGCAGCGACACAGCGUGGAGGAGGAAGGUCUUCGGAUUGUAAACUCCUUUUAUAUGGGAAGAAUAGAUGACUGUACCAUAUGAAUAAGCACCUGCUAACUACGUGCCAGAAGCAUCGGUGAUGCGUAGGGUGCGAACGUUAUCCGGAUUUAUUGGGCGUAAAGAGAUGCGUAGGCGUUUCAGUUAGUCUUUCGUUAAAAGUCACGGCUUAACCGUGAAGAUGCGUUGGAUACUGCUGAAAUUGAGACAUGAAGGGGUGAACGGAACUCCAAGUGGAGCGGUGAAAUGCGUUGAUAUUUGGAAGAACAUCAGAGGCGAAGGCGGUUCACUGGUCAUUGUCUGACGCUAAGGCUCGAAAGCGUGGGUAGCAAAACGGAUUAGAUACCCGUGUAGUCC